rnacentral:misc_RNA from 1 species
GAUGAAGAACGUAGCGAAAUGCGAUAAGUAAUGUGAAUUGCAGAAUUCAGUGAACCAUCGAAUCUUUGAACGCACAUUGCGCCCGGCAGUAAUCUGCCGGGCAUGCCUGUCCGAGCGUCAUUUCUCCCCUCGAGCGCAGCUUUCCCCCCCGGGGGAGGGCCGCGCCCGGUGUUGGGGCGCUACGGAGGAGCCCAGCGCUCCCCCGUAGGCCCCGAAAUGUAGUGGCGGCCCCGCCGCGGCGCCCCCUGCGUAGUAGUUUUACAACUCGCAUCGGGUCCCGGCGGAGGCCAGCCGUCAAACCCCCCAACUUCAAUAGUUUGACCUAGGAUCAGGUAGGGUUACCCGCUGAACUUAAGCAUAUCAAUAAGCGGAGGA